rnacentral:rRNA from 1 species
AUUGAACGCUGGCGGCAGGCUUAACACAUGCAAGUCGAGCGGAGAGAGGUAGCUUGCUACUGAUCUUAGCGGCGGACGGGUGAGUAAUGCUUAGGAAUCUGCCUAUUAGUGGGGGACAACAUUUCGAAAGGAAUGCUAAUACCGCAUACGUCCUACGGGAGAAAGCAGGGGAUCUUCGGACCCUGCGCUAAUAGAUGAGCCUAAGUCGGAUUAGCUAGUUGGUGGGGUAAAGGCCUACCAAGGCGACGAUCUGUAGCGGGUCUGAGAGGAUGAUCCGCCACACUGGGACUGAGACACGGCCCAGACUCCUACGGGAGGCAGCAGUGGGGAAUAUUGGACAAUGGGCGCAAGCCUGAUCCAGCCAUGCCGCGUGUGUGAAGAAGGCCUUAUGGUUGUAAAGCACUUUAAGCGAGGAGGAGGCUACUUUAGAUAAUACCUAGAGAUAGUGGACGUUACUCGCAGAAUAAGCACCGGCUAACUCUGUGCCAGCCGCCGCAGUAA